GGGGAAGCAUAUACUGCAGUCGAGCGAGCUUGCCUAGAUGAUUUUAGUGCUUGCACUAAAUGAAACUAGAUACAAGCGAGCGGCGGACGGGUGAGUAACACGUGGGUAACCUGCCCAAGAGACUGGGAUAACACCUGGAAACAGAUGCUAAUACCGGAUAACAACACUAGACGCAUGUCUAGAGUUUGAAAGAUGGUUCUGCUAUCACUCUUGGAUGGACCUGCGGUGCAUUAGCUAGUUGGUAAGGUAACGGCUUACCAAGGCAAUGAUGCAUAGCCGAGUUGAGAGACUGAUCGGCCACAUUGGGACUGAGACACGGCCCAAACUCCUACGGGAGGCAGCAGUAGGGAAUCUUCCACAAUGGACGAAAGUCUGAUGGAGCAACGCCGCGUGAGUGAAGAAGGGUUUCGGCUCGUAAAGCUCUGUUGGUAGUGAAGAAAGAUAGAGGUAGUAACUGGCCUUUAUUUGACGGUAAUUACUUAGAAAGUCACGGCUAACUACGUGCCAGCAGCCGCGGUAAUACGUAGGUGGCAAGCGUUGUCCGGAUUUAUUGGGCGUAAAGCGAGUGCAGGCGGUUCAAUAAGUCUGAUGUGAAAGCCUUCGGCUCAACCGGAGAAUUGCAUCAGAAACUGUUGAACUUGAGUGCAGAAGAGGAGAGUGGAACUCCAUGUGUAGCGGUGGAAUGCGUAGAUAUAUGGAAGAACACCAGUGGCGAAGGCGGCUCUCUGGUCUGCAACUGACGCUGAGGCU
rnacentral:rRNA from 1 species